rnacentral:lncRNA from 1 species
CCUGUGGGAGAGCAUGAAAGGUGAGCCUGCCCUCCCUGCUUCUGGUACAGCCUGGCCACAAGGGGGCAGUGUGGUGGGAAGUCAGAGAUGGAGAGAAGAGGCAGUUACCUUGCCUGCGAGGUCUCCCAAUGGAGGCUUCUGUGGGCUCUGCAGGCUCAGUGCAGAUGCUGGCUGAUUUUGGGCCCCACGGGGUGCUGUUCCUGCCUCAGAAGCCGUUCUUCACUGAUGGGACACUUCGGGAGCAGGUCAGCACGGUCAGGGGUCCACUCCUCCAACCUCAUGCCACCCACUUACAUCUAGGGCUUCUAACAGUGUGAGACCUCAGGCCCUAGGAGGAGAGGGGCAAUAGUGCCCAUGCCUGGGGAUUCCCAGGCCCUGAGAACACACUGUGGUGUUUAU